rnacentral:RNase_P_RNA from 1 species
UGGGCGGUCUGUCGCGAACGCGGCUCUUCGGAGCUGUGGGCGAGGAAAGUCCGGGCAGCAUAGGGCAGUCCGCUUCUUAAUGGGAAGGAGUCCGCGAGGGCUGAUUAGCGCAGAAGAAAACAACCGCCCAUGUGCGCUCCUUGCGCGCGUGUGGUAAGGGUGAGAAGGUGGGGUAAGAGCCCACCAGGCGUCUGGCGACAGGCGUGCUGUGCGCAUCGGACGCUGAAAGUUCAUGUAAACUGGCAUUUGAGGGCGGCCCGUCCGAGCCAGAGGGUAGAACGAUACAGCCGUGCGGCAACGUGCGGCGCAGAUAAAUGACAGACAGGGAAUGUGGGUUGCGUAGGUGUUCCCCUUUCCCUACAGAACCCGGCUUAUAGCCUGGCUG